rnacentral:rRNA from 1 species
GAUGAACGCUGGCGGCGUGCCUAAUACAUGCAAGUCGAGCGAACAGACGAGGAGCUUGCUCCUCUGACGUUAGCGGCGGACGGGUGAGUAACACGUGGAUAACCUACCUAUAAGACUGGGAUAACUUCGGGAAACCGGAGCUAAUACCGGAUAAUAUAUUGAACCGCAUGGUUCAAUAGUGAAAGACGGUUUUGCUGUCACUUAUAGAUGGAUCCGCGCCGCAUUAGCUAGUUGGUAAGGUAACGGCUUACCAAGGCAACGAUGCGUAGCCGACCUGAGAGGGGGAUCGGCCACACGGGAAGUGAGACACGGACAAGACUCCUACGGGAGGCAGCAGUAGGGAAGCGGCCGCAAUGGGCGAAAGCAUGACGGAGCAACGCCGCGUGAGAGAUGAAGGUCUUCGGAGCGUAAAACUCUGUUAUUAGGGAAGAACAAAUGUGUAAGUAACUAUGCACGUCGUGACGGUACCUAAUCAGAAAGCCACGGCUAACUACGUG